GCCAAAAGGGAUUCUGAGUCUCGAGAGAGAGAAGAUAACAAAAACUAAUUCUACAGAGAUUGUCUCCGGACAGGAAGAGGGGCCGCCGGAGGUGGGGAGGGGCGUCUGCUCUCCGAGAAGCCGUCCAGGCGCCCGCUAAUUCCAGCGAAUAUAGAACUGCAAUCCCAGCACAUGGCCAUGACCAAGUAAUUCAUCACACAAAUAACCACAUUAAGGAUUCAAUCCUAUGGACACUUAUGUGGAAGUAAACUACAUUGAAAUAACAGGGACUAAACUUCUGAAUAACUAUGUCUAGGAUUGGGCUGAUAGAACUAUGUGUGACAAUUUCAUCUGUUGAUAAAAAGAAGUUGAAUCUCUGCCUAAAAAUGUGAAGCAUGUUGAAGGCAAAAGUCAUCUAAAAAAAAACUUACUAUGCUUCCAGAAUGUCUGAACUUGAAGGAAUGUGAGAAAGAGAGAUCAAAAGAUUUCCCUAAAUGUGAAGGAACAAUGAACUUUUUGGUAAUUUCAAACAGGUGUUCGGAAGUUAUCAAUGUUGAUUCUUUUAAUGAGAAUCUAAAUAAAAACAAUUUUUCAUUUA